AACGGGGUAUUUUAUAAAGAAUAUUGGGUUUGCGUCUCAAAGGUGGAUUAGUCUCUUCGUUA
rnacentral:tRNA from 1 species